CUACGGGAGGCUGCAGUGGGGAAUAUUGCACAAUGGGCGCAAGCCUGAUGCAGCCAUGCCGCGUGUAUGAAGAAGGCCUUCGGGUUGUAAAGUACUUUCAGCGGGGAGGAAGGGAGUAAAGUUAAUACCUUUGCUCAUUGACGUUACCCGCAGAAGAAGCACCGGCUAACUCCGUGCCAGCAGCCGCGGUAAUACGGAGGGUGCAAGCGUUAAUCGGAAUUACUGGGCGUAAAGCGCACGCAGGCGGUUUGUUAAGUCAGAUGUGAAAUCCCCGGGCUCAACCUGGGAACUGCAUCUGAUACUGGCAAGCUUGAGUCUCGUAGAGGGGGGUAGAAUUCCAGGUGUAGCGGUGAAAGGCGUAGAGAUCUGGAGGAAUACCGGUGGCGAAGGCGGCCCCCUGGACGAAGACUGACGCUCAGGUGCGAAAGCGUGGGGAGCAAACAGGAUUAGAUACCCCCAGUAGUC
rnacentral:rRNA from 1 species